CAGGUGGCCCAGCCGUGGGCAGAAAGCCAAGGUAGAGGGGCAGGUUCCCUUUAUCUGCUGGAAGGGUGUGGGGUUACCAUGGCUCUAGUUGGGUACCCCGACUUCACAAAGCACUCUAAUCUUGGGGAUCUGAUCCAGGUGACUGGCUACCAUGGCGACAUGGCUCUAAACAGAUGCUCACCUCUCUAGACCUUCCUCAGCGCACCACGCCCUUUUCCCAGAACUCAGUUGCUGUGUGUCCAUCAGCAUCUGGUGCUGGCACAAAAGGCAUCACAACUUCUGGCCUCUGACACCAAGACUCAUGAGCUGGGAUCUAGCAAUGAAACACAGUGACAUCGCCACCUGCCCAGGCAUUGUGUUCUGAAGCCGUUGUUUAGAGCAAAACUCAUGCAGAGUCAAAACCGACACCAAAGAGCCCCCAAGAAGGCUGUGAGCAACAUGGCUGUUCUGUCGAGUACAGCCCCACUGGUCACCUGCAGCUUCGUACCCGUCAUGCUUCCUUUCAUUGAGCACCUAAAAGAAGUCGAAAUUUGAAGUUUCAGUUUCAAGGCAAAAAGGUGACUUAUCUUUAGGCUGUGAAAUUCUGUGCCAGGUGGUGCGAGUUUCACAUUUCGAGAGGCAUGUUGGAACUGGGACCCACAAAAGGAACAACAGGACUUACUCUUCAAGCGGAAAAUCAUGGUGCAUCUUGCUUGCCAUCAGUGGGAUCUUAGCAUUGAAGAAAUAUGGAAGUUAGGUGCGUGCAGCUCGUAUGAUUGUAAGGCUUGAGUCCCCCCACAGUAGGAUUUUAGAGCUGCACUCAAAGGCCUUAGGAACUGAGGUUGGGGAUCUGUGUAGCUUGACUUUGGACUCUGAGAAUCAUGGAAGCUUUGAGGUCAAUUACAGAAUCUUGGAGAAUCAUGGAAUUUUGGAACCCUAGAAUCCCAGCGUCAGAAUCUUGGGGCUGGAUGGACCUUUGAGCUGUCAUCUCACAGAUGGGAAGAAUGUGUCCCAGGGAUUAGAAGCGAUUUGCCUAACAUUAUAGCUUCUGACAGUAGAGCAGGGCUGACACCCGUAUCUCCUGAUUUCUGCCCAGGAAUUCCAUCUUCUAGGCCAAGACGGGACAACCUUUCUUCUAACACAAGACGGUAAGCAAAUUGGAGGGUGGAGGUUGGGAGAGCUAUGGUAGAAGGAAAGGGGAGACUGUGUGCCCCGGAGAGUAAGACCUUGUAUGUCAGGUGGAGCCUCAACUUCGAAGUUCAGUAAAACCACAGAGUUAAUGUCAUGAGGCCCCAUCUUUCUUUCCAACUUCAUCUCCGGCCACACUCAGCAUCUCCUCCCCACCCUACUUCUGCCCACACAACCACCAAGGUACUGCUCCCACCUCAGUAAGCAUUACAUGGGCCCACCACAAGCUCUCUCAGCCUGGGUGCCUUUGCUUGUGGGGCUGUAGGUCUGCUGAGUGCAGUUAUGCAAGCUGAGCAUAGUACAGGGGUGCCACAUUCACACGGUAGACGUUAUAGAUGUAGGCCCAUCAUUUCUGGCAGAUGGCAGUGGGACGUCUUCAGGA